UACGGGGGGGGCAAGCGUUGUUCGGAAUUACUGGGCGUAAAGGGCUCGUAGGCGGCCAACUAAGUCAGGCGUGAAAUCCCUCGGCUUAACCGGGGAACUGCGUCUGAUACUGGAUGGCUUGAGUUUGGGAGAGGGAUGCGGAAUUCCAGGUGUAGCGGUGAAAUGCGUAGAUAUCUGGAGGAACACCGGUGGCGAAGGCGGCAUCCUGGACCAACACUGACGCUGAGGAGCGAAAGCCAGGGGAGCAAACGGG
rnacentral:rRNA from 1 species